rnacentral:misc_RNA from 1 species
UCCGGUUUGUCACCGGCAGUCUCCUUAGAGUUCCCGACAUUACUCGCUGGCAACUAAGGACAAGGGUUGCGCUCGUUGCGGGACUUAACCCAACAUCUCACGACACGAGCUGACGACAGCCAUGCAGCACCUGUCUCACGGUUCCCGAAGGCACCCUCUGAUCUCUCAAAGGUUCCGUGGAUGUCAAGGCCAGGUAAGGUUCUUCGCGUUGCAUCGAAUUAAACCACAUACUCCACCGCUUGUGCGGGCCCCCGUCAAUUCCUUUGAGUUUCAGUCUUGCGACCGUACUCCCCAGGCGGCGAACUUAACGCGUUAGCUUCGACACUGAGAGCCUAAUUGCUCCCAACGUCCAGUUCGCAUCGUUUAGGGCGUGGACUAC